GAUGAAGAACGUAGCGAAAUGCGAUAAGUAAUGUGAAUUGCAGAAUUCAGUGAAUCAUCGAAUCUUUGAACGCACCUUGCACUCCUUGGUAUUCCGAGGAGUACGCCUGUUCGAGUGUUAUGAAGCUCUCAAAACGCAAUUGGCUUAAAACCUGAUUGUUGUUUUGGAUUUGAACUUUGCCGUGUUAUAACGGCUGGUUUUAAAAGUAUUAGCUGGUACUAGAACGAAUUGGUUCUACUCAACGUGAUACUUAUCUGAUCGUUGAGGACAUUCCUUUCACGAGGAAUGGCCAUAGUAAAUUCAAUGGACUGCUUCUAAUCUGGCUUUAAUUCUUUAUUGGAUUAACCACUUUUCAAAUCUGACCUCGAAUCAGGUGGGACUACCCGCUGAACUUAAGCAUAUCAAUAAGCGGAGGA
rnacentral:misc_RNA from 1 species